GUCAGUGUGGUGUAGUGGUCUGAAUGUUGUACUAUGACUUUGAAAACCAGGGUUUGAUUCCCAGCUUGGCCA